UACGUAGGGGGCAAGCGUUAUCCGGAUUUACUGGGUGUAAAGGGAGCGUAGACGGCCAGACAAGUCUGAAGUGAAAAUCCAGCGCUUAACGUUGGAAGUGCUUUGGAAACUGCCGGGCUAGAGUGCAGGAGGGGCUGGCGGAAUUCCUAGUGUAGCGGUGAAAUGCGUAGAUAUUAGGAGGAACACCAGUGGCGAAGGCGGCCUGCUGGACUGCAACUGACGUUGAGGCUCGAAGGCGUGGGGAGCAAACAGG
rnacentral:rRNA from 1 species